UACGUUUUCGAACAAAAUAGAUGAAAACAACUCAAAGAGUUCCAAAAACCAGUGUUGAUUGUUUGGAUGCGAUGGUCGGAGACCAGUUACGGAAUAAUCACAGUAAUCAAGCAAUCUCUACGGAAGCCAUCAUUCACAACUAUAAAUCAGCUCAAAUUAGACAGAGUGUGCUGGUGGGUGAGCGUGCCAGGUGGGAUAGCACGUAGUUCCUCCCGCUGAGUGCAGUCAAAUGGCCCGGCGGCUCUAAUUUUUUUUGUGGUGAAAAUAAAACCAACCGGAUAAAAAUGCACGCAUCCAUCUUCUGAAUACAAUCGUCUUUUUCUUUUUGAAAUCAGAAAUUCCAUUCAAAACCGCUUUGAAAUUUCAUAAAUUUUUGAUUUUUUUUCAUUCAGUCGAUCCAUGAACAAGCCUAAACCGC